CCUUCAGAAUGGCACUCGCCUAUCUCUUAGGACCUACUGACCAUGUUCAACUGCUGUUUAACCCUUCAAAAGUUCUCCUUUUAAUAUUUGCUACUACCACCAAGAUCUGCUCCUGCAGCAGUUCCACCCAGGCCCAUGGCCUAAACUUCAAGGCCCAUUGAAGCAGACCACCUACUUGUCACAGCACAGUCCCCACAGAUCUCAUUGCCAGCAAUGGCUGGGUAUAGGCCUGAUGCUCCAGUACCUUCUGUUUUCAGGGCUAGUUGAUUUUGGGGCUUCGGGAGUUGUUAUACAUUCCUUAGCGGGAUUGAAUUCCAUGCCCACCGUCCUGCUGUGUGUAUCAACCAACACCACUUCUGCUUACCAAAAGUGGCCCACGAGGCACUCCCAUUUCAUGCCCAGCUUCAUGCCAGUGAGCCGGGUUUCUUACCCAUUUAAAGUUUGAGCAUAGGUUGAGAUUGUUUCUGCCCCCAGACCUCUAUUCAUUCACUUUAUCAGAUAAAACUGCAGAUAUGGAUGAGUGCCAGCUAUCCUGAGGGAAACUUCAGAGGGAACCAGCUACUAGACGGUUCAAUUAGUCUUUCACUCCAAUGCCCAGGUUGGAUGACUGAUUUGCACGUCAGGACUACUACAGACCUCCACCAGAGUUUCCUCUGGCUUCAUGCUGCUCAGGCGCAGUUCACCAUCGUUACGGGUCUGUGAUGGGGUGCACACUGGCCCUGCAAGAGCUGAACUGUGCCAAGUUGGCCAAAAUAGCUAAUUAGGCUGCAAUAUGGGAGAAUUAAGGCUGGGAGGAAAGCCCUAACUGGGUUUAUACAAAGACACAAAAUUGGAAGCAGAGGGGGCUGCAGGGAGGUAGUCUGCAGUAACGCCCUGGAAGAAGGGCAGUGUGUUGGGGGCAGGGGACUAUAGAGACAACUAGCCCAUGGUUACUCCUUGGGAGGAGGGAGUUCAGAGGUUGGCAAAUCCACAGGAGUGGGGGGAGCCAGGAGGUGAGGAAGAGGCUCAGGGAAAGGUGGCAGGGUACAGGAGGGAAACACACCAUGGUGCUGUUUGGAGGGUCCCUGAGCUGGAACACAGUGUAGAGAGCAGGGCCUGGGUUUCCCUGUGAGUCACUGAGGGAGUGGGGCCUAGGGCAGUGAAUGGGAGGGACGUCUGAGACUGCUGGUGAGCAGGGACUUUGAUGCACAUCCCGGAAGGGGACACCACACGUGACCUGGCCGGAGGGACGAGUUACGAAGAGGAUGCUGCAGUUCCUGGAGUGGGAGAGGGGCCACAGGCUGAGAGAGACAGAAUGUAACCGCUGGAAGGGGCAUCGACCUGGCGAGCUAUUCCCCAGAGUGACCAGGAGGACACACCAUCUGCGGAGGAAAGCAGGCUAGUCCCUCUCUGCCCAAGACUUCCUGUGGACUAGAGCAUGCCAAGGGGAUAUGGGAGUCAGAUGUUCUUCCCCACUCGAUGUCCCUGUGGGUGUCCCUGGGCCACUUCAGGCCACACAAGUCUUUGAACCACUGCCUCCCCAGGCCAUCAGUCUUAUGGAGAGUGACAGCUGCAAAUGUUUCAAUGCUACCCCUAUCAUCUCCGUCCCAGAGGCUAGCGCAGAUAAGAAGAUGAAAAAAAUGCACUCACGAUGAAAUGUUCUCUGAGCUUAUGCAGUCCUCCCACACUGAAAGAGCUCAGCAGAAUGUGUGGAGACAAACAAUGUCAGAGUCCAGGAAAGCAGAAAAUGAACGCAAGGACAGGAGGGACGAGUGAGAUGAGAAGGCUGGCAUUCAAUAAGUUUUGAAAUGCAGUGUGGCCUUGUCCUUCCCUCCUCCCCUCAUCCACCACCCCGCCCGGUGCUUCCCUCCUCCCCCACCCCUCCCGGGCUACCUUGGCAGUUAUCCCCCUAUUUGUGUGACGAAUUAAUAAAGAAUGCAUGAUUUUGAAACAAUAAUGACUUUAUUGCCUCUGCAAGCGGUGAUCGAGGGGGGAGGGUGGUUGGCUUACAGGGAAGUAGAGUGAACCAAGGGGGCGGGUUUUCAUCAAGGAGAAACUGAGGGAACUGGGAUUGUUUAGUCUGCAGAAGAGAAGAAUGAGGGGGGAUUUGAUAGCUGCUUUCAAAUACCUGAAAGGGGGUUCCAAAGAGGAUGGAUCUAGACUAUUCUCAGUGUACCAGAUGACAGAACAAGGAAUAAUGGUCUCAAGUUGCAGUGGGGGAGGUUUAGGUUGGAUAUUAGGAAAAACUUUUUCACUAGGAGGGUGGUGAAGCACUGGAAUGGGUUACCUAGGGAGGUGGUGGAAUCUCCUUCCUUAGAGGUUUUUAAGGUCAGGCUUGAUAAAGCCCUGGCUGGGAUGAUUUAGUUGGGAUUAGGUCCUGCUUUGAGCAGGGGGUUGGACUAGAUGACCUCCUGAGGUCCCUUCCAACCCUGAUAUUCUAUGAUUCUAUGAUUGAAACAAACAGAACUGUCACACCAUAGCCUGGCCAAUCAUGAAACUUGUUUAAAAGCUUCUCUGAUGCGCAGCACGUCCUGCUGUGCUCUUCUAAUCACCCUGGUGUCUGGUUGCGCGUAACACUGGUCUACUAUUUUUGAGAAGUCGUCUGCUUCAGAGAUAAAAUGUGCUAUUUAUUAUGUAUUUUGAUGUGCUGAAUUCAAAUAUGACAAUUAAAACAACUGAUUGGCUAC